rnacentral:misc_RNA from 1 species
AAGAAACAUAGCAAAAUCAACAAACACAAUCACCCAUGCCUUGAUUGUCCAAGAGCGCCUGUGCAAAUGGCUCAUGUGGUCUCAACCAUCUCCUCCCACAGCAAUGUGAAGCCUAUCUCAAUGCGUCUCCUCUCUUUCUCUCGUUGUCUUUUCAAAACCCUUUGUUUUGCGAAUUCACCCUCGCUUGGUUAGCAUUCCUCAACCUCACAAUGGCUAGGCUGCUAUGGAAGGUCAUCUUCUACUCUUGGCCUAUAACAAUAGUUAUCAGAUUUGCUUCCCCUCCUCCCCCAAAACCCUUGCAUAUCACUAUUUGGGUCGUGCAUCCCAAAACGAUGUACACUAGUGUUCCAAAGUGCUUCAGUAAGUGUCCUAGGUCGCUAAAAUAGAAGUUUU